GACGAACGCUGGCGGCGUGCUUAACACAUGCAAGUCGAACGAAGUGGCGAACGGGUGAGUAACGCGUAAUCAACCUGCCCUUCAGAGGGGGACAACAGUUGGCAACGACUGCUAAUACCGCAUACUGAAGGUGGGGAUUGCGUCUGAUUAGCUAGUUGGAGGGGUAACGGCCGACCAAGGCGAUGAUCAGUGGCCGGGCUGAGAGGGUGAACGGCCACAAUGGGACUGGGACACGGCCCAGACUCCUACGGGAUGAAGCAGUGGGGAAUCAUCCGCAAUGGAGGAAAGUCUGGCGGAGCAACGCCGCGUGAGUGGUGACGGCCUUCGGGGUGUAAAGCUAUGUUAAUCGGGACGCGGUACCGGAAUAGAAAGCAACGGCUAACUACGUGCCAGCAGCCGCGGUAAUAC
rnacentral:rRNA from 1 species